rnacentral:rRNA from 1 species
CCUAGCUCCAGGGACGCCGUACCCGAUCCAAAUUCGAUCUAUUCAAUCGAUCUCUUGCUCCUGCCGCACGGCAACUACUCCAUAAAUAUUCCACACGUCCUUGUCAUCGGAUUUUCGCCAAAAUCGCUGCCUCCCGUGCCCUAGAACGGCGCCUAGAUCUCGCCGUAGUCCGCCGCAGCCCGAAGCUUCUCCAGUUGGAAGCACCCAAUCGAGCGCUUCGAGCUCGCUCCGGCGAACAUGCCACCGCCCGAGCUCCAGCCACCCUCUGCCGUCGUCCCCACUCGCCACCAACGCCGCUGAGGACGUUUUCGAGACCGCGGCAGAGCUGCGCGCCCCGUUUGCUACCGGCCAGAGUCUGGAGACCACCGGAGAAGGCGCCACCAUCGCCGCCCGAGCCGCCGCGCCGUUCUUCCUCAAGUCCGGUGACCAGCCUCUGUUCUUCUCCGAUUGUCCGGAGUGUGAAGCGGAUCAUAAUUGAGCGUUAGAGUACUUCAACAUCAUUAAAGGAUUUUCGGAUGAUCAAUGAGAUAUAGUAGGGUCGCGAGUCUUCACUCAGCAUUUUCGUCAUGGGCAUUGAUGGGAAUCAUCAUCUAUUAUGCUACAUUUCCGCUGUUAUUAAUGAAUAAAGCUAGCUAUGUGCUAUUCAGUUUGUAAUGCUUUAUAAAUUCUGGAUCAUACAUUGUAGUAAAUGAUGCACAUGUUAUUUGAUAUUCAUAUGUACUAUGUGUGCUAGCGAGUUGAUCCAGGGACUAACACAGUAAGCACAGGUUCGGGUCAUUACAGAGGACUUGAUACUUAAUGCUAUGGCUGGGUUUCACGACCUUAAUGAUCUUUAGUAGUUGCGGAUGCUUGCUAGAGUUCCAAUCAUAAGUGCAUAUGAUCCAAGUAGAGAAAGUAAGUUAGCUCAUGCCUCUCCCUCAUACAAAAUUAAAACAACGAUCACCAGUUUAGCUAUCGAUCACCUAGGAACAAAUGACUUUCUUGUUGACAAAAGCUAUCUACUUUUAUUGUCUUGCAUUUUAUUCGUAAUUUUAUUCUCGCAAAGUACUCAUACAUUUAUCUUUGCAAAAUAAUUUCAUACUUGUUUUAGGUAAAGCAGACAUCAAGUGUGCGUAGAGUUGUAUCAGUGGUCGAUAGAACUUGAGGGAAUAUUUAUUCUACCUUUAGCUCCUCGUUGGGUUCGACACUCAUAUUUAUCAAAAAAGGCUACAGACGAUCCCCUAUAUUUUUGUGUUAUCAGGGGCACCACCGCCGGGAGAAUAGGGUCGUCCGCAUGGCAGAUUUGGUGGGGAGGAGGGCGAUGAUUACGAGGAGCAUGUCGUCGAGGAGGCUGCUGAUGAAGUCCAGGCUCACCGGAUGCGGUUUUGGCUCGAGCCGCCUCCGCUUGUUGGCUGUCUCACCGUCCAUCUCAGCUGGUGGUGACGCCGGCGUACACGUGUGCUGGUGUGUAUUGUGUGUUGGGUGUGUGCGAGUGCGUCCUUGUGUGCAUGCCGCCGCGUAGUGGUGUAGUCUGCGCGAGUGUGUCCUUCAUGCGGAAGAAGUGUGCCCUCAAUUUACUAGCGUGCGG